rnacentral:rRNA from 1 species
UUGCUUCUCUUGAGAGCGGCGGACGGGUGAGUAAUGCCUAGGAAUCUGCCUGGUAGUGGGGGAUAACGUUCGGAAACGGACGCUAAUACCGCAUACGUCCUACGGGAGAAAGCAGGGGACCUUCGGGCCUUGCGCUAUCAGAUGAGCCUAGGUCGGAUUAGCUAGUUGGUGGGGUAAUGGCUCACCAAGGCGACGAUCCGUAACUGGUCUGAGAGGAUGAUCAGUCACACUGGAACUGAGACACGGUCCAGACUCCUACGGGAGGCAGCAGUGGGGAAUAUUGGACAAUGGGCGAAAGCCUGAUCCAGCCAUGCCGCGUGUGUGAAGAAGGUCUUCGGAUUGUAAAGCACUUUAAGUUGGGAGGAAGGGUUGUAGAUUAAUACUCUGCAAUUUUGACGUUACCGACAGAAUAAGCACCGGCUAACUCUGUGCCAGCAGCCGCGGUAAUACAGAGGGUGCAAGCGUUAAUCGGAAUUACUGGGCGUAAAGCGCGCGUAGGUGGUUUGUUAAGUUGGAUGUGAAAUCCCCGGGCUCAACCUGGGAACUGCAUUCAAAACUGACUGACUAGAGUAUGGUA